rnacentral:tRNA from 1 species
UAAGUAAAUUUUAAAAAUUGCUAAUUUUUACUAAUAAAUAAAAUUUAUUAUUACUUUU